rnacentral:rRNA from 1 species
UACGGAGGGGGCAAGCGUUAUUCGGAAUUAUUGGGCGUAAAGGGCGCGUAGGCGGCUAGAUGUGUCAAAGGUGAAAUCCCUCGGCUCAACUGAGGAACUGCCUUUGAAACUGUCUGGCUUGAGGCCGGGAGAGGGUAGCGGAAUUCCGAGUGUAGCGGUGAAAUGCGUAGAUAUUGGGAGGAACACCUGCGGCGAAGGCGGGUUGCUGGGCUGAUACUGACGCUGAGGCGCGAAAGCCAGGGGAGCGAACGGG